GAUCCUGGCUCAGGACGACGCUGGCGGCGCGCCUAACACAUGCAAGUCGAACGAGCGAGAGAGAGUUACUUUUUCGAGCGAGUGGCGAACGGGUGAGUAACGCGUGAGGAACCUGCCUCAAAGAGGGGGACAACAGUUGGAAACGACUGCUAAUACCGCAUAAGCCCACAGCUCGGCAUCGAGCAGAGGGAAAAGGAGCAAUCCGCUUUGAGAUGGCCUCGCGUCCGAUUAGCUAGUUGGUGAGGUAACGGCCCACCAAGGCGACGAUCGGUAGCCGGACUGAGAGGUUGAACGGCCACAUUGGGACUGAGACACGGCCCAGACUCCUACGGGAGGCAGCAGUGGGGAAUAUUGCACAAUGGGGGAAACCCUGAUGCAGCGACGCCGCGUGGAGGAAGAAGGUCUUCGGAUUGUAAACUCCUGUUGUUGAGGAAGAUAAUGACGGUACUCAACAAGGAAGUGACGGCUAACUACGUG
rnacentral:rRNA from 1 species